CUUGACACUGAACAUUGAGCCUUGAUGUGUAGGAUAGGUGGGAGGCUUUGAAGCGUGGACGCCAGUCUGCGUGGAGCCAACCUUGAAAUACCACCCUUUAAUGUUUGAUGUUCUAACGUUGGCCCCUGACCGGGGUUGCGGACAGUGUCUGGUGGGUAGUUUGACUGGGGCGGUCUCCUCCCAAAGCGUAACGGAGGAGCACGAAGGUUAGCUAAUCCUGGUCGGACAUCAGGAGGUUAGUGCAAUGGCAUAAGCUAGCUUGACUGCGAGCGUGACGGCGCGAGCAGGUGCGAAAGCAGGUCAUAGUGAUCCGGUGGUUCUGAAUGGAAGGGCCAUCGCUCAACGGAUAAAAGGUACUCCGGGGAUAACAGGCUGAUACCGCCCAAGAGUUCAUAUCGACGGCGGUGUUUGGCACCUCGAUGUCGGCUCAUCACAUCCUGGGGCUGAAGUAGGUCCCAAGGGUAUGGCUGUUCGCCAUUUAAAGUGGUACGCGAGCUGGGUUUAGAACGUCGUGAGACAGUUCGGUCCCUAUCUGCCGUGGGCGCUGGAGAAUUGAGGGGGGCUGCUCCUAGUACGAGAGGACCGGAGUGGACGCAUCACUGGUGUUCGGGUUGUCAUGCCAAUGGCAUUGCCCGGUAGCUAAAUGCGGAAGAGAUAAGUGCUGAAAGCAUCUAAGCACGAAACUUGCCCCGAGAUGAGUUCUCCCUGAGACUUUAAGUCUCCUGAAGGAACGUUAAAGACGAUGACGUUGAUAGGCCGGGUGUGUAAGCGCAGCGAUGCGUUGAGCUAACCGGUACUAAUGAACCGUGAGGCUUAACCUU
rnacentral:rRNA from 1 species